rfam:Tupaia chinensis contig197558, whole genome shotgun sequence.
GUAACGAUAGUUUAAACAAAACAUUAGAUUGUGAAUCUAAUAAUAGAAGUUCACAUCUCCUUAUUUACC